rnacentral:rRNA from 1 species
AUGUUCCUGGCUUUCGCUAACUCCAACUGGGCCGGCCAGUUCCCUCAACUUCCUUCGCCGAUUCUGACGGGAGGUCCUAUGGGCCGCAUUUUGCGGCGAAUAGCUAGCGUGACGCACACAGGAAGCGUCCGACUGGACCGGGCCACUAUAAGGACCCCGAGGUGUGUGUACAACGGUAGUAGGUCGCACGGGAGGCAGGCAAGCCAGUCCCGGGCAGGCGAGCAGGAUGUCGGAAGAGCCGGAGCAGAGCCGGUUGGCAUCGGAGUUGAGAUGUUGGGCAGUCCAGCCACACGCCUACGGGCAGGAUCGACCAGCCGUGAUCCAUGGAGGAGGAGGCCGACGGGCGGAAGGCACCAAGGGGUGGGUGGCGGAGCAAGUUUAGAGGGAGAGGGGAGCGACAGGGAGGCGCCAGCGCGGGUUGCUUCGUCGCGCGGCCAUGACGUGGUUGCUGGAUGCGGCCAACGCUCAGAUCGGGCGGUGGCGGAACAGGGGAUCAGGACUUUCAUGGGAAAUAAGAACUUGAUGAUGCAAACAAAGAAGUUGUUUCAGUUUCACGAGCAGUAUUCUACAAAUAACUGUGUGGGUUCUUCACCAAUCUGGCCUUCGUCGAUCCGCCAUCGAAGAAGGCUUGUUGGAGCUUCCUUGAUCCCGGCCCAUUUUUUGACAUGUCCGCCUCGGCAUUUCGUCAAACACGUAGCAGGUCGGCCGGUGCGCCCAACGAGUGCUGCCUCCGCUCGGUCGCCGCUACUCCCGCCCCGCGAACUCCGCCGUGCUACUCGCCCGGUAGCAGCAGCUCGCUUGAGAGAAGCUGCCCGCACCCGCCUCCGCGAUGCUCUCAAUCCGCGCCGAAGCUCAUGCUCCCGCUCGUGCGUGCCAGUGCUCGUGCCACCUAGUCUGGCUUCGGGUGUCAGGGUCACAUCCUGCUGCCCGAAGCUCCGAGCUCGCGCCACCGUGCGCUGCCGAGCCGAGCCGCCAUGCUCGCCGGCACCCCGAGCACAAGGAGCAUCGACGCCGCAUGGCGCCGGCGGUGCCGACAGCAGCGAGCGCGGGGAGCAUGGCGGGCGUCAGGGCAAGCAUGCUCGUCGGCUGGGGAUGUGCGAGGCGCGGCAUGGCGCUGGCGGGGAUGGAUUGUCCAGUAAGAUGAAAGAUGCUGAGAUCACCCCAUCUCAAGAUCGGAAUACGGUGACGAUGUUCGUGGUCGUGCCCUUCCUGAAGGCAUCGUCUUUGAGUCCUCGCUCCAACCUAACCACACCACGGCGUCUUUCACGGGAGAUUGGAUCUGAGCUCUCGCCCCUGGUUUCUCUGUGUUGCCGGCAUCAUGACGGCGUCAACACAGCGAACCACACUCGAGUCAGCUGCACGGCGUUAGGUUAUUCCACCCGAUCUCCUCCCUUCCUGGAACCUCGGUCCUCCUCGAUCUCGCCCUCCUCCAUCUCCUCUACGCCUGCCAAUGUGGGCCGCGUCUCCGUGUCCUCGGCCAUGCCGGCGGCGGCAGCGAUGCGGUCUGGCGUCGGCGCCGACGGAGUUCCCGUCUCACCGUGUCUGGACCAAGCACGACACCACCUCGGUGUUGCACGCCGCGACAAUGCCCGCCCGGGCUCAAACCCCCCUCCCCCACGAGCUCCUCCUCCUCGACGCACCGCUCUCUUCAUCCGUUGUCUCCUCCGCUCGCCACUUGAUCGUAGAACUAGUCAGGGCAGGGGACGACAUGGCCGCCGCCAAGCAGUAGCCGCCGCUAUACAUUGUCGUCGCCGACGACCGCUAGAGGAGCAGCUUCCCGUGCACACGCCCCAUCACGCAGAGCGCGCUCCAGCUCAUGGGCUACAAGCCACGCCACACCUUCAAGGUCUGUCUUCCCCCAUCUUGCUUGUCCCCCAAUCUAGUUGUUUGGCCGUGCACCAGGUUAGGCUGACAGCGGUGCAUCAGGCCAGGUCUUGUUCAGACGUGGCCAGGCCUUGGCGUAGCCUUGUGGGCUGUAGCCUUUUGGGUAGGUUCGGUGUGGCUGGGCAUCAAGGCGUCAAUGCCCUUAGGUGUUGUAGCGUCACGCCGACACGCGAUCACUCGACGAACCACAACAGAUGGGCGACGCUGCGCUGGGCUUUAGCUUUACACCUAGCAUCAUCCAUGCUAAUCCGAUCAGCCACUGACCUCAGCUCCAGCUCAAAAGGUAGAGAACGCAGCCAAAAGAACGCCGAUAACCGUAAUAAACAGGAGACAAAACACAAAAUUGGAUCAAAAUCUUACUCGCAAGUAAGCUUUGAGAAGUUAUUCAAUGAUGUGCAUUCGAACAAAGCACGUCAAGAGGUUCAAAACAAAGAAACUGAAACUGAAGGUCCACUUUCAAGUGAGCAGAAAAACAAUAUUUUCCAGACCUCAUACAAAGACACUCUGAAAUGCAAGUCAUCACAGCCUCGUGGGUACGGAUACAUGGCCAAACCUUCAACUGGUUCUCAAAGGUUUCGUAUCCAGAUUGAAGAGCAAGCCUACAGCAUCCACCCAGCAGCAAAACUCUGA